UACAGAGGUCCCAAGCGUUGUUCGGAUUCACUGGGCGUAAAGGGUGCGUAGGUGGCAGGGUAAGUUUGAUGUGAAAUCUCCGAGCUCAACUCGGAAACUGCAUUGAAUACUAUCCUGCUUGAGGAUUGGAGGGGAGACUGGAAUUCUCGGUGUAGCAGUGAAAUGCGUAGAUAUCGGGAAGAACACCCGUGGCGAAGGCGGCUCUCUGGGACGGUACUGACGCUGAGACGCGAAAGCGUGGGGAGCGAACAGG
rnacentral:rRNA from 1 species